AAUGAACGCUGGUGGCAGACCUAACACAUGCAAGUCGAACGAUUUAUAAAAACUUCGGUUUUUAUAAAGAGUGGCAAACGGGUGAGUAACACAUGGGAACGUGCCCUUAGGUCAGGAAUAACUUCGGGAAACUGAAGGUAAUACCUGAUACCUUCCAUGUCAAUUGGCAUUGAAGAAAGGCUCGCAAGAGUCGCCUAUGGAUCGGCCCGUGCUCGAUUAGACUGUUGGUGAGGUAAAAGCUCACCAAAUCUACGAUCGAUAGCUGGUCUGAGAGGAUGAUCAGCCACACUGGGACUGAGAUACGGCCCAGACUCCUACGGGGAGGCAGCAGUGAGGAAUAUUGGACAAUGGGGGCAACCCUGAUCCAGCCAAGUCGCGUGAGUGAUGAAGGCCUUCGGGUCGUAAAGCUCUUUUAACAAGGAAGAUAAUGACUGUACUUGUAGAAUAAGCCCCGGCUAACUCCGUGCCAGCCGCCGCGGUAAU
rnacentral:rRNA from 1 species